GGCGAACGCUGGCGGUGUGCUUAACACAUGCAAGUCGAACGGAAAGGCCCUGCUUGUUUGGGGUUCUCGAGUGGCGAACGGGGGAGGGACACGUGAGUAACCUGCCCUUGACUUUGGGGUAGCUUCAGGAAGGGGGAGCUACUACCGUAUAGGAGAUGCUGUUGCAGGGUAGGGGUGGGAAAGUUGCGGCGGUUGGGGAUGGAUGCGCGGGUUAUGAGCUUGUUGGUGGGGUAGUGGCUUACCAACGCUGUGACGGGUACGUGGCAGGAGAGGGUGACCGGCCACAUUGCGACUGCGAUACGGACCAGACUCCUACGGUAGGCAGCAGUGGGGAAUCUGGCCCAAUGGGAGGACGUCUGAUGCAGCAACGUCGCGUGCGGGAUGACGGUCUGUGGGUUGUAAACCGCUUUAGCCUGUGACGCCGCGGGAGUGACGGUAAUCGAUAAAGAAGCACCGGCUAACUACGUG
rnacentral:rRNA from 1 species